GCGAGGCGCGUGCUAUACAUGCAAGUCGAACGCACUCUCGUUUAGAUUGAAGGAGCUUGCUCCUGAUUGAUAAACAUUUGAGUGAGUGGCGGACGGGUGAGUAACACGUGGGUAACCUGCCCUAAAGUGGGGGAUAACAUUUGGAAACAGAUGCUAAUACCGCAUAAAACCUAACACCGCAUGGUGUAGGGUUGAAAGAUGGUUUCGGCUAUCACUUUAGGAUGGACCCGCGGUGCAUUAGUUAGUUGGUGAGGUAAAGGCUCACCAAGACCGUGAUGCAUAGCCGACCUGAGAGGGUAAUCGGCCACACUGGGACUGAGACACGGCCCAGACUCCUACGGGAGGCAGCAGUAGGGAAUCUUCCACAAUGGACGAAAGUCUGAUGGAGCAACGCCGCGUGAGUGAAGAAGGUUUUCGGAUCGUAAAACUCUGUUGUUGGAGAAGAAUGUAUCUGAUAGUAACUGAUCAGGUAGUGACGGUAUCCAACCAGAAAGCCACGGCUAACUACGUGCCAGCAGCCGCGGUAAUACGUAGGUGGCAAGCGUUGUCCGGAUUUAUUGGGCGUAAAGCGAGCGCAGGCGGUUUCUUAAGUCUGAUGUGAAAGCCUUCGGCUCAACCGAAGAAGUGCAUCGGAAACUGGGAAACUUGAGUGCAGAAGAGGACAGUGGAACUCCAUGUGUAGCGGUGAAAUGCGUAGAUAUAUGGAAGAACACCAGUGGCGAAGGCGGCUGUCUGGUCUGUAACUGACGCUGAGGCUCGAAAGCAUGGGUAGCAAACAGGAUUAGAUACCCUGGUAGUCCAUGCCGUAAACGAUGAGUGCUAGGUGUUGGAGGGUUUCCGCCCUUCAGUGCCGCAGCUAACGCAUUAAGCACUCCGCCUGGGGAGUACGACCGCAAGGUUGAAACUCAAAGGAAUUGACGGGGGCCCGCACAAGCGGUGGAGCAUGUGGUUUAAUUCGAAGCAACGCGAAGAACCUUACCAGGUCUUGACAUCCUUUGACACUCUAGAGAUAGAGCUUUCCCUUCGGGGACAAGUGACAGGUGGUGCAUGGUGUCGUCAGCUCGUGUCGUGAGAUGUGGGUAGUCCGCACGAGCGCACCCUAUACUAGUGCAGCAUUAGUGGGCCCUCUAGUGAGACUGCGGUGACACGAGAGGUGGGGACGACGUCAAUCAUCAUGCCUUAUGACUGGCUACCACGUGCUAAAUGAUGUCACGAGGUGCGAGACCGGGAGUAGCUAUUCUCUUAACACACUUCUCGUCGGGAUGUGUGAGGGUGAAUUGC
rnacentral:rRNA from 1 species